rnacentral:rRNA from 1 species
GACGAACGCUGGCGGCGUGCUUCAUACAUGCAAGUCGAACGAGAAGCUGACUUCGGUCAGUGGAAAGUGGCGGACGGGUGAGUAAUAUGUAGGAAAUCUGCCUUUAGGAGGGGGACAACAGAGGGAAACUUCUGCUAAUACCCCAUAUGAGCGUAGCUGAAAUGCUAUUCUUGAAAACUCCGGUGCCUAAAGAUGAGCCUGCAUCUGAUUAGCUAGUUGGUAGUGUAAUGGACUACCAAGGCGACGAUCAGUAGCUGGUUUGAGAGGAUGAUCAGCCACAAUGGGACUGAGACACGGCCCAUACUCCUACGGGAGGCAGCAGUAGGGUAGUUUGCGCAAUGGGCGAAAGCCUGACGCAGCAACGCCGCGUGAACGAUUAAGCCCUUCGGGGUGUAAAGUUCUGUCAGUGGGGACGAAACUUGACGGUACCCACAGAGGAAGCACCGGCUAACUCCGUG